rnacentral:rRNA from 1 species
GACGGACGCUGGCGGCGUGCCUAAUACAUGCAAGUCGAGCGAGACUCUUCGGAGUCUAGCGGCGGACGGGUGAGUAACACGUGGGCAACCUGCCUGUAAGACUGGGAUAACACCGGGAAACCGGUGCUAAUACCGGAUAAUCCUUUUCCUCUCAUGAGGAAAAGCUGAAAGUCGGUUUCGGCUGACACUUACAGAUGGGCCCGCGGCGCAUUAGCUAGUUGGUGAGGUAACGGCUCACCAAGGCGACGAUGCGUAGCCGACCUGAGAGGGUGAUCGGCCACACUGGGACUGAGACACGGCCCAGACUCCUACGGGAGGCAGCAGUAGGGAAUCUUCCACAAUGGACGAAAGUCUGAUGGAGCAACGCCGCGUGAGCGAUGAAGGCCUUCGGGUCGUAAAGCUCUGUUGUUAGGGAAGAACAAGUAUCGGAGUAACUGCCGGUACCUUGACGGUACCUAACCAGAAAGCCACGGCUAACUACGUGCCAGCAGCCGCGGUAACAC